ensembl:lncRNA
GUUACAGCCUUUGGUUUUUUAAUGAAAUAAUCUGUUUCUGCCCUAAAUGGGGACACCUUGAUAAUGGCUUCUACUAGAGAUCAAAUUCCUCAAGGGGAACCAUCAUCUCUACUUCUUUUGAAUUUCAUCCCAGUCUCAGGACAAGAAUUCUGCACCGAGUGAAACUUACUGAAGGUUGAAUAAAUCAACUUUGACCCUCUUUUCAUACUAUUUAAUAUUAAAAUGAGGGCUUCCCUGGUGGCUCAGCAGUAAAGAAUUUGCCUGCAAUGCAGGAGAUCUGACUUUGAUCCCUGGUUGGGAAGAUCCCCUGGAGGAGUGCAUGGUAACUCACUCCAGUUUUCUUGCCUGGAGGAUCCCAUGGACAGAGGAGCCUGACAGGCUAUAGUCCAUAGGGUCACAAAGAGUUGGAAAUGACUGAAGCGACUGAGCACGCAUGCAUGCACACAAUAUUAAAAUGAAAUAAAUUUAAUCAAUACACAUUGUUUUAUGCAUCCUCUGCUCUCUGUACUCUUUCUUAUCAUGGAAGCUCUUUGGCUCUGUGAAUCCUGGAAUUGCAUGAAAGUACUAACCCUUUGGGAGAAGGCAAUGGCACCCCACUCCAGUACUCUUGCCUGGAAAAUCCCGUGGAUGGAGGAGCCUGGUAGGCUGCAGUCCAUGGGGUCGCUAAGAGUCGGACAUGACUGAGCAACUUCACUUUCACUUUUCACUUUUCAUGCAUUGGAGAAGGCAACGCAACCCACUCCAGUGUUCUUGCCUGGAGAAUCCCAGGGACGGGGGAGCCUGGUGGGCUGCCAUCUCUGGGGUCGCACAGAGUCGGACACGACUGAAGCGACUUAGCAGCAGCAGCAGCAACUAACCCUUUAGAGUAGAACAGUACUGAAUAAGAUGGGCUUCAGGCACAUUUUAGAAAACUAGUGAUCUGUGCACUGUUGGUAGGAAAAACUGCCAAUUCAUUGGUAGAGAUAAGGAAAAAAAAGAGGUGGUGUUGCAAGAGUAACGUGGGAGAGGCAUAAAAGGUGACAUGAAGAGGAGAGAUAGUCGCUCAGUCGUGGCUGACUCUUUGCGACCCUAUGGACUGCAGCACACCAGGCUAGAGGGCAGUGAUAUUUAAAAAGUUGGGUUUUAACUUCCUAUGAAAGGAAGCAUUUACUUUUCAUUUUUUAAAAAGUUGUACAUUAGAAAUAAAUUUCAAAUCCAAAUUAUUGUCCAACAAUAUUGAGUACAUUUGCUACUCGGUUCUGUUUCGAGAAAGCUCCACUGAAAGCUGUGUGAUCUUAGUGUAAUGAAGAAGAAAAAAAAGAAACCUUGAAAAUCUCUCACUUUGUCAUGACUGGGCUGAGGGCAGAUGACUCAGUGUGAAUUCAAGUUAAAUCAUUUAACCUUUUUCUCUUACUCAACCCAUCUGGGGAGCUGAAACACAAGCGCUUCACCGUGAAACAGAUGGUGCACUAAGGCUAAAUUUUCCCAGAUUAAAAAAGAAGAAGAGAAAUGUGUUAUAAGUGCUAAAGGAACCAAACGUGGAAGAAGACCAAGGAUUAAAAGGAACAGAGCUAUAAACUGGAUCAAAUUUUUUCCUUUGUAGAAAAUAAUAAUAAAAAGUGGCUGAAUUCUUCUAAGAACUCAAAUCAAUAAAAUUGAGAAACCAGGAUUACUAUG